rnacentral:rRNA from 1 species
UACAGAGGGUGCAAGCGUUGUUCGGAAUUAUUGGGCGUAAAGCGCGUGUAGGCGGCUUGGCAAGUCGGGUGUGAAAUCCCUCAGCUUAACUGAGGAAGUGCGCCCGAAACUGCCGAGCUUGAGUACCGGAGAGGGUGGCGGAAUUCCCCAAGUAGAGGUGAAAUUCGUAGAUAUGGGGAGGAACACCGGUGGCGAAGGCGGCCACCUGGACGGAUACUGACGCUGAGACGCGAAAGCGUGGGGAGCAAAC